GUGCUUGCUUUGGUAGUACAUAUACUAAAAUUGGAAUGAUAAAGAUAACAUUAGCAUGGCCUUUGGCACAAGAUUAAUAUGCAAAUGCGUGAAGAAUUCCAUAUUUUG